GUUAGAAAAUCUUCGGAAACUCUAUACGGAAAGGAGGGAGUUGUUCAAGAACAUAUUUCCGGAGCUUGAUGACAACUUUGUGGAGUCGUUUAAGAAAAUCCGAGCAACUCUAUUGCAACUGAAGACAGAUCGGUUGAAGGUACAGACCUUGCAAAGGAGCUUGAGUGUGGAUUCACCUCGCACGCCCUCAAGGAAAGGCGAUGAAUACCCAUCGAGGCUGGAGAGGUUCAAAGUCAAGACUCUGGAUGUGUAUGUAGGGGUGGCACAAGAUGGCAAGGGUGCGACCCAGCAAAAUGGUUCCAAAUAGUAUUUGCACGACAACAGCUUGAGAAUGGGAUCGAUUAUUUCCAUUAAUAUAUUAUCCUCUACUAUAGUCAACAUGUAAAUAGGAAUUGAAUGAUUUUAUAAAAUAUUUUGUAAGACUUUCUUGGUUGUAAAAAGACUAUUUAUAGACAUUGGUUUGGUUUGAGUGUAUAUUCCUUUCAACUGUCUUGGAAAUAUAUAUAUAUAUAUAUAUAUAUAUAUAUAUAUAUAUCUUAUUUCCAAAUAUUCAAUCAUUGAUCAUGCUUCUACUGGGGCCAUAAUCACUAUUUGAUGAUGAUUUGUUAUAUGAUUGAGACCAAUAAAAAUAUGCCAAUAUAUAUGAGACGCAUAAAAUAAUAGGUAACAGAUCAUGAUUAACAAAAGAGUCUUCUACAGAGUGACGAAGUAUGGAGCAUCUCUAUUAUCCUAUUCCAUGUGACAACUUUCCGCUCAUGUUAUGUUAUUUUAUGGUAAAUUAAUUGACAUUAUAAUCUAAACAAAAUGAUAAGUCAAUGGAAUAAAUAAAAUUCUUGUAAUUUUUUUAAUAUCGAAAAAGUUACACUAGUGAUUUUCAUGUUUAAAUAAUUUUCUUUAUUUUUUUUCUAUUGAAUCUUUGAUAAUCAUUGUUUUGGACAUCUAUAGAUGAGGACCUGUAUUUUUCUUAUGCGUCCUCACUCGAUGAUGAGACUCUUUUUAUUUAUGAAAAUUUGAUUUUUGAAAAUUUGUUUGGAGUCGCCAUUUUGUUUUGCAUGCAUCCCCACAAAAUGGCGACUCCAUCAGGAAUUAUCUCCAUCUUAAAACGAUCCACCAAAAACCGCAUCUACAUGCAUCUUAAAGAAUACUCCUCUAGGAAUCAUGCUAUUGAAAAAUCAAUUUGAUCCAUCUUGAAUGCACUCUACCAGGGAAUCAUGACGACUAUAGAGCAUAUCCAUUGAAAACUAUCAAAAUCUCAAAAUGUACUCCAUUGAGGAAUUGGAAUGUAGAACAAUCACAUUGAUCUAUCUCAAAGGCACUCCACUAGGGAGCUGUGACGACUACAAAGCAUAUCCAUUGAAAGCUGUCCAAGUCUCAAAAUGUUCUCCAUUGAAUAACUAGAAUGCAAAACAAUCAAACUGAUCUAACUCAAGGCAUUCCAUCAGGGAAUCAUGAUGACUAUACCAAGCUCUUGGAGCUUGUUUUAGUACCCAUACAAUGUUUUUUUUUUAAAAAAAAAAAAAAAAAACGCUUUAUGCUCACUUCUAAGCUUCACAUAACUAGGGGGUUGAUUAAUAAAAACUUGUUUUUGUAUAUCACCAUGCAAAAAUGUUGAUUCAACAUCUAGUUGGAAGCUAGACCAUGAGUUUUAUUGUACCAUGUCUUGCAAUAGGAGCAAAGCCUUAUUUAUAAUUUACACUAAACUCUUAUUUCUAGCCUUGCACUUGUCAACUUUGUCAUUCACCUUUAGUUUUGUCUUUUAUACCCACUUGACACUAAUUGUCUUGUGCCCUCUUGGAAGAUUAGUUAACUCCAAAGUGUUUUUUUUUUCCCUCAAUAGUUACAAUAUCAUCAUUCAUAACUGUCCUCCAUGUUGAUUCUUUGACAACAUCUUUGAAAGUUGUAGGAUUAUAAUCUAAAAUGUCACAAAAAGUGUAAGUAGGUUCUUAAUAGGGUCAAUUUUAGUUACCUCACAAUCAAUCAUCCAUAUAGGUCUUCUUUGAACACGUUUAGACCUUUGCUCAUCAUAUAUUUUAGUUGCAACUAGGCUUUAAAUAUCUGUAGGAACAUUUUAGGUAACUUCAGUUUGUUGAACAUUUUUCAUAGGCUAUUGCAUUUUUUGAUUACCAUCAAAAUAUGCUUAACUUAAAAUCAUAAUGGCAUGUUCUUUUAUAAUUUUGCUUGAAACCGCAAAUACUAAUAUUAGCUAUUAUAAUUUUUUAUAUUUCAUUAUCUUAUUAGCAAUUGCAAUUUUAAGACAAAAAAAAAAAAAAAAAAAACAAUAUAAACGACAUUAACAACUCAAGGCCUAUUGGAAAUUAUUUUUUAGAAUAGUUUUCUAUUCUUCAUAAUAAAAAAAUAUAGAAAACAUGUUCGAUAAGAAUAAGAAAUAGGGUGUUUUUAGAAAAUAUUUUUUACUUGUUUUCUAUUAUUUUCACUUAUUUUUUAAGGGCUAUUUUAAGAAAUAAUUACAUAAAUAUGUAAAAUAAUUAAAAAUAAAACACUAAAUUUAAAAUUUAUUUUUAAAACAUGUAUAAAAAUAUUAAAAAUAGAUUAGAAACAUUUUAAAUUUUCAAACAUAUUUUUUUUUUUUUACAAAAAUUAGAGAAUAGUUUUCAAAAACUAUAUAUUAUAAAAAAAAUUAUUUUACAAAAUUAUUUUUAAAAACAAUUACCAAAUCGGUCCUAAGAUUUUAAGCCACUUUCAAAAGAUUAUUUCUAAAUUAAAGAUUCUCAUAAUUUCUUUAAACUGCAACUGGACAAGGAUUUAUGUGAAAAAAAAAAAGACUUUGAAAUACACAUUGAAAAAACUAACAUAAAAGAAAGAUUGAAGGGUUACAAAUUUAAUCACCUUGAAACCGUCAAGAAUUAUAAACAUCCAAAAGUAGUUAGACUUGUUAAUACAGGGGCAUCCUAGUUUUGGAGUAGGUCAAAGUUAGGUCAAAAGCAAUUUUGCUUCAAAAAUCUUUUUAAACCAAUUUAAAAUUUCAAGAAAAAAAAAAAUUUCAAGUACCACACAUACUCUAAACUUGGCUCAAUUUAUCAUAUUCAAGUGGAUCAACUACAAAGAAGACCUUUCUCUAUUAAAAAGCCCCAGCUUCAACGCGCAGAUGGAAGGGAGAUAGGUCAUGACUAAUAACUAAUAGUUCGUACAUAUGUGGAAGUGAGAUUCAUCAAAUGUGUCGUACUAAAAUUCACCAGUUCUCAAUUCCCAAAAAUGAAAACUUCUAAAUAAAUAAACGUGGGGCCUUUGAUGACCUUCCACAUAACGGCAGACAGAGAUGGUGUGAGGAAGCUACACUCAACUAAAAGUCGCAGCUGACCCGGUCCAGUUUCCACCCACAAACAGAGCUUUUAGCAGGCAUUCAAAGCUGCCUAACACCCAAAUCUUGACCACUGAUGCAACUUGUCGACCCAAUUAUGAGUAAACCACCCACGCGGAGGCCCUGGGUGAUCUAGUUUUCCUGUGGAAAGACAGAAAGUUUUUUCGACUUCCCCAUCAAGUGUCCAACUCUCCAUCUAUAUAUAUAUAUGUGUGUGACCAAGCCCAAACCUCAAGUCCCACAAAGCCUUUCACGAUUGUUCAUUAGUAUUCUUUUUCAGCACAACCCCAACACAGGUACCUGCUUCUGAUAAUCUCUGUCUCUCCUGGGUUCAUCUGAUCAAGCUUCCAUGGCUGGCCCUUACAGCGCCAAUGGUCAACAGCCCCAGUUUCGUCCACCGUAUGAUUUGGGGUAUCCCAUGCUUGCCUACCCACAGCCUGCUUAUCAAUCUUGUCCGCCAUAUGAAUUUGGUUAUCCCAUGCCUGCCUACCAGCAGCCUUAUCAAUCUCCUCCACCAUAUGAAUUCGGGUAUCCCAUGUGUCAGAAUGAGGGAUCAACCAGCACCAUAAAUCAUGAGAUGGCAUGGAGUGAGAAUGAUUUACUGCAGUGGAUAAGCAGUUUCCAGAAGAGCGAUAACUUUCAUUCUGAUCAUAGAGUUAGUCCUCCUCAACCCAACGAUCCAAGGCUGCUAGUGCUGUUAGAAAAUCUUCGGAAACUCUAUACGGAAAGGAGGGAGUUGUUCAAGAACAUAUUUCCGGAGCUUGAUGACAACUUUGUGGAGUCGUUUAAGAAAAUCCGAGCAACUCUAAUGCAACUGAAGACAGAUCGGUUGAAGGCACAGACCUUGCAAAGGAGCUUGAGUGUGGAUUCACCUCGCACGCCCUCAAGGAAAGGCGAUGAAUACCCAUUGAGGCUGGAGAGGUUCAAAGUCAAGACUCUGGAUGUGUAUGUAGGGGUGGCACAAGAUGGCAAGGGUGCGACCCAACCAAAUGGUUCCAAAUAGUAUUUGCACGACAACAGCUUGAGAAUGGGAUCGAUUAUUUCCAUUAAUAUAUUAUCCUCUACUAUAGUCAACAUGUAAAUAGUAAUUGAAUGAUUUUAUAAAAUAUUUUGUAAGACUUUCUUGGUUGUAAAAAGACUAUUUAUAGACAUCGGUUUGGUUUGAGUGUAUAUUCCUUUCAACUGUCUUGGAAAUAUAUAUCUUAUUUCCAAAUAUGCAAUCAUUGAUCAUGCUUCUACUGGGGCCAUAAUGACUAUUUGAUGAUGAUUUGUAUAUGAUUGAGACCAAUAAAAAUAUGCCAAUAUAUAUGAGACGCAUAAAAUAAUAGGUAACAGAUCAUGAUUAACAAAAGAGUCUUCUAGGGUCUCCGGUCCGGGCCGGGCCUGGCCGGAGGAGUAAGGCCCAUGGCCCAGCCCGGGGUGGGCCACUGAGCCCAUUGACUAGUCAACGGGCUGGCCGGGUCGGGCCCUUGGUAAAUCUAAGGCCCGUGGCCUAGCCUGUGGGCCCUCAAGCUGGGCGGGUUGGGCGGGCGGGCUUGGCGGGCUGGGCGGGUGGGUAUUGAGUAAAAAUUAAAAUACUUUUGAGUUUUGAAGGGAUUCCCUUAUGGAUCCAUAAAGAGCUAGCCACCAACUGAGUUGACUCUCUUUUGUGUAACUAUUUUACAUUAGUUAUAUAUAUAUUAGAAAUGUUGUAUGAUUUUUGAAAAAAAAAUAAAAGUGAGUUGGUUGUUCAACAGUCACAUGACCGUUGAACAUGUCACUCAUAAAAUUCAUAAAUAUAUAUAUGACCGUUGAACGGUCUUGACAUUUAAAAAAAAAAAAAAUUAAAUCCUAAUAUUUAAAUCCUUAUAAAUAUUAAAUACCCUCAAUUUUUUUCUAUUCUCUCAACUCUUAAGCUCUCUCCCAUUCCACAAUAUUUCCAAUUAUUGCAUUUUGUCUCAAAUUAUUCAAUAUUAUUGGUGGUGAAAAACAAGCAUUGGUGGUUCAAAGAGUUCAAAUUUGAAGGAAUUUCUGCUUCGGUUCUCCAAUUUAGUAACAUACUUCACCUUUCCUUUUAUUUAUUUGUUACAUUUUAAUUUUACAUUUAUUAUUUUUAGCAUAAUAUUUUAUCAAUAAUUAUAAUUAUGGCAAGUGGUUCUUGUUCUUCAUCUAAUGCAUGUGAUAGCAAAAAAUUUACUUCAAAUAUAUAGAAUUUUUUUUAUAGAAUAGAAAUAAAUUUAGAAAAUAAUAAAAAAGAAAUAAAAGAAAAAUGUAAAAUUUGUAACAAACUUCUUAGUGGUGGCUCAAAUGCAGGUACAAGUUAUUUAAAAAGGCAUCAUGAAAAUUGUAAAACUAAAAAUAAUGUAGAUAUUAGAAAUUAUAUGCAAUUAGGUAAAGAUGAAAGUCGAAAUUUAAAAACAUUUUCUUAUGAUGAAUCUUAUUGUCGUGAAGAAAUGAUUGGUUAUAUAAUAAGAGCAGAACAAUCUUUUAAUUUCAUGGAAACUCAUGAUUAUACGGGAACAAUGCAACGAGCUGUUAAUCCUUAGUUUCAAGGUUGCUCUGGAAAUACAGUUAAAAGAAUUCUUAUAAAAAAUUUUGAAACACAAAAAGAAAAUUUUAAAUUUUUUUUUUUGCAAAUUUUGAAGGAAAAAUUUGUUUAACAUUUGAUAUUUGGACAUUUUUAACUCACAGUGGUUUUUUAUGUAUAACUGCUCAUUAUAUUGAUAAUGAAUGGAAAUUAAAUAAAAGAAUUAUUUCAUUUAAAAUAAUAAAUGCUCCACAUAAUGGUAAAAAUAUAGCAUCUUUAAUAAAUGUUGAAAUUAUAGAUUUUGGCAUUCGUGAUAAAAUAUUUACAAUAACAUUAGAUAAUGCUUCUAAUAAUGAUGCAGUAGUAUCUAGAUUAAAACGAUAUUGGCAAAUAAAAGAAGAUUAAUGUAAAAUAUUUCAUGUGCGUUGUUGUGCACAUAUUUUAAAUUUAAUUGUAAAAGAUGGAUUAAAACACGUUGAUGAUACAUUAUAAAAAAUUAGAGGCAUUGCUGCAGGUCUUAAUAGUUCUCAAGCAAAACAUGAAUUAUUUUUUUAUUGUUGCAAAACGUUAAAUAUGAAAAAAAAGAAAUAUAUUUUUGGAUAUGCCCACUAGAUGGAAUUCCACUUACAAACUUUUACAAACUAUUAUAAGAUAUAGAAAAGUAGUAGAACUAUAUGAAAUACAAUUAAUUAGCAAUGAUUGUGAAGCAGAUAUUGAUGUAUUAAAUGAUUAUGAUUGACAUAUUGCAGAUCUUUUAAGAGAUCUUUUUGAAGUAUUUGAUACUUCAACAAAAAAAUUUUGUGGUGUAUAUUAUCUAUCUUCAAACCGAGUUGUCAUGCAAAUAACUAAUAUUUUUAUUGUACUUCAAAAAUAUUUAAAUUUUGAUAUAUUUAAUGAUGCAAUAUUUGCAAUGAUAGAAAAAUUUAGAAAAUAUUGGGGAGAAAUACCUUUGAUUUUUUAUCUUGGUUUAAUUGUGGACCCUAGAUUGAAAUUUGAAGCUUUGGAUGAAUGGUAACAAUUAUUUAUUUUAAUGACCAAAUAAAAAUUGAAGAAAUUAAAAAUGAAAUAAAUUCAUUAUUAUAUAAUUUAUAUAACUAUUAUAAAGAAAAAUAUGGUGAUGAUAUUAGUUCUAUUAAAUUACCACUUACAUCUACAAGCUCUUCAUCUUUUUAUAAAGGAGCUCUAAAAAUGUUAAAAAGUCGAAAGAAGACAACAAAUAGUUCUCCAAACAGCACAAUUGAUUUAGAUAGAUAUCUUAAUAUUGAUUUAAUUUCAUUUGAAGAUGAUGAAGAUUUUGAUAUUUUAAUAUGGUGGAAAUCACAACAACACAAAUAUCCUAUGUUUUCUAUCAUUACUCGUGAUGUACUAACAGUUCCUGUGAGUACAGUUGCAUCAGAAGCUGCUUUUAGUGCAGGUGGAAGAGUAGUUAGUGAUAAACGAUGCAGCUUAGCGCCGGAUUCUAUUGAAGCAAAUAUAUGUGUGAAAGACUGGGCAAUAGCAGAUAAAAGGAUAUUUGAUUCUAUUCAAGAAGAAAAUAUGCUUGUCGAUAUGGGAAAACUAAAAUCAUCAAGAUCUUCAUGGAUUUGCGAUAAUUCGCCAUCACCGCCAAGAGAUAAUGAUUAAAAUAUUUUACUAAAUGUAUGUCAUAUUUUUAUUUUUAUAUUUGUGGUUGAAAAGUACAAAUGAUUGACAAAUAAGUAGGUGUCAACCUAGUUGUGAUGUAUUUAUUUUGUAGUGAUGUAAACUUUUCCCACAUUUUCAAAUGUAAUGUAUACAUUCAAUGAAUAAAAUAGUUAGUAAUGAAUAUUUUUAUUAAUGUAGCAUUUUCUAUUUCUUGAAUAUUUUUUUUAUCUAUAUAUUUUUUUUAAGCAACGGGCCUAUGGGCCUACGGGUGGGUCAGCCCGCUUGGCCGGACCGGGCCUAAAUUGGGGCCCAUGGCCCAGACCAUCCAGAAAUGAGCUCGGGUCGGGCUUUAGCCCGCUGGGCUGGGCCGGGCCGUGGGCCGCGGGCUUUUUGGAGACCCUUACUUCUACAGAGUGACAAAGUAUGGAGUAUCUCUAUUAUCUUAUUCCAUGUGACAACUUUCCGCUCAUGUUAUGUUAUUUUAUGGUAAAUUAAUUGACAUUAUAAUCUAAACAAAAUGAUAAGUCGAUGGAAUAAAUAAAAUUCUUGUAAUUUUUUUAAUAUCUAAAAAGUUACACUAGUGAUUUUCAUAUUUAAAUAAUUUUCUUUAUUUUUUUUUUUAUUGAAUCUUUGAUAAUCAUUGUUUUCGACAUCUAUAGAUGAGGACCCGCAUUUUUCUCAUGCGUCCUCACUCGAUGAUGAUACUCAUUUUUUAUUUAUGAAAAUUUAAUUUUUGAAAAUUUGUUUGGAGUCGCCAUUUUGUUUUGCAUGCAUCCCUACAAAAUGACGACUCCAUUAGGAAUUAUCUCCAUCUUAAAACGAUCCACCAAAAACCGCAUCUGCAUCUUAAAGAAUACUCCUCUAGGAAUCAUGAUAUUGAAAAAUCAAUUUAAUCCAUCUUGAAUGCACUCUACCAGGGAAUCAUGAUGACUAUAGAGCAUAUCCACUGAAAACUAUCAAAAUCUCAAAAUGUACUCCAUUGAGGAAUUGGAAUGUAGAACAAUCACAUUGAUCUAUCUCAAAGGCACUCCACUAGGGAGUUGUGACGACUACAAAGCAUAUCCAUUGAAAACUGUCCAAGUCUCAAAAUGUUCUCCAUUGAAUAACUGGAAUGCAAAACAAUCAAACUGAUCUAACUCAAGGCAUUCCAUCAGGGAAUCAUGAUGACUAUACCAAGCUCUUGGAGCUUGUUUUAGUACCCAUACAAUGUUUUUUUUUUUUUAAAAAAAAAAAAUACGCUUUAUGCUCACUUCUAAGCUUCACAUAACCAGGGGUUGAUUAAUAAAAACUUGUUUUUGUAUAUCACCAUGCAAAAAUGUUGAUUCAACAUCUAGUUGGAAGCUAGACCAUGAGUUUUGAGUUGCCAAUCCAAUCACCAACUUGAUUGUAUCAUGUCUUGCAAUAGGAGCAAAGCCUUAUUUAUAAUUCACACUAAACUCUUAUUUCUAGCCUUGCACUUGUCAACUUUGUCAUUCACCUUUAGUUUUGUCUUUUAUACCCACUUGACACUAAUUGUCUUGUGCCCUCUUGGAAGAUUAGUGAACUCCAAAGUGUUUUUUUUUUUUUUUCCUCAAUAGUUGCAAUAUCAUCAUUCAUAAUUAACUGUCCUCCAUGUUGAUUCUUUGACAACAUCUUUGAAAGUUGUAGGAUUAUAAUCUAAAAUGUCACAAAAAGUGUAAGUAGGUUCUUAAUAGGGUCAAUUUUAGUUACCUCACAAUCAAUCAUGCAUAUAGGUCUUCUUUGAACACGUUUAGACCUUUAUUCAUCAUAUAUUUUAGUUGCAACUAGGCUUUAAAUAUCUGUAGGAACAUUUUAGGUAACUUCAGUUUGUUGAACAUUUUUCAUAGGCUAUUGCAUUUUUUGAUCACCAUCAAAAUAUGCUAAACUUAAAAUCAUAAUGGCAUGUUCUUUUAUAAUUUUGCUUGAAACCACAAAUACUAAUAUUAGCUAUUAUAAUUUUUUAUAUUUCAUUAUCUUAUUAGCAAUUGCAAUUUUAAGACAAAAAAAAAAAAAAAACAAUAUAAACGACAUUAACAACUAAAGGCCUAUUGGAAAUUGUUUUUUAGAAUAGUUUUUUAUUCUUCAAAAUAAAAAAAUAUAGAAAACAUGUUCGAUAAGAAUAGAAAAUAGGGUGUUUUUAGAAAAUAUUUUUUACUUGUUUUCUAUUAUUUUCACUUAUUUUUUAAGGGCUAUUGUAAGAAAUAAUUACAUAAAUAUGUAAAACAAUUAAAAAUAAAACACUAAAUUUAAAAAUUAUUUUUAAAACAUGUAUAAAAAUAUUAAAAAUAGAUUAAAAACAUUUUAAAAUUUCAAACAUAUUUUUUUUUUACAAAAAUUAGAGAAUAGUUUUCAAAAACUAUAUAUUCAAAAACUAUAUAUUAUAAAAGAGUUAUUUUACAAAAUUAUUAAUUUUUAAAAACAAUUACCAAACCGGUCCUAAGAUUUUAAGCCACUUUCAAAAGAUUCUUUCUAAAUUAAAGAUUCUCAUAAUUUCUUUAAACUGCAACUGGACAAGGAUUUAUGUGAAAAAAAAAAGACUUUGAAAUACGAAUUGAAAAAACUAACAUAAAAGAAAGAUUGAAGGGUUACAAAUUUAAUCACCUUGAAACCGUCAAGAAUUAUAAACAUCCAAAAGUAGUUAGACUUGUUAAUACAGGGGCAUCCUAGUUUUGGAGUAGGUCAAAGUUAGGUCAAAAGCAAUUUUACUUCAAAAAUCUUUUUAAACCAAUUUAAAAUUUCAAGAAAAAAAAAAAUUCAAGUACCACACAUACUCUAAACUUGGCUCAAUUUAUUAUAUUCAAGUGGAUCAACUACAAAGAAGACCUUUCUCUAUUAAAAAGCCCCAGCUUCAUCGCGCAGAUGGAAGGGAGAUAGGUCAUGACUAAUAACUAAUAGUUCGUACAUAUGUGGAAGUGAGAUUCAUCAAAUGUGUCGUACUAAAAUUCACCAGUUCUCAAUUCCCAAAAAUGAAAACUUCUAAAUAAAUAAACGGGGGGCCUCUGAUGACCUUCCACAUAACGGCAGACAGAGAUGGUGUGAGGAAGCUACACGCCUACACUCAACUAAAAGUCGCAGCUGACCCGGUCCAGUUUCCACCCACAAACAGAGCUUUUAGCAGUCAUUCAAAGCUGCCUAACACCCAAAUCUUGACCACUGAUGCAACUUGUCGACCCAAUUAUGAGUAAACCACCCACGCGGAGGCCCUGGGUGAUCUAGUUUUCCUGUGGAAAGACACAAAGUUUUUUCGACUUCCCCAUCAAGUGUCCAACUCUCCAUCUAUAUAUAUAUGUGUGUGACCAAGCCCAAACCUCAAGUGCCACAAAGCCUUUCACGAUUGUUCAUUAGUAUAUUCUUUUUCAGCACAACCCCAACACAGGUACCUGCUUCUGAUAAUCUCUGUCUCUCCUGGGUUCAUCUGAUCAAGCUUCCAUGGCUGGCCCUUACAGCGCCAAUGGUCAACAGCCCCAGUUUCGUCCACCGUAUGAUUUGGGGUAUCCCAUGCUUGCCUACCCACAGCCUGCUUAUCAAUCUUGUCCGCCAUAUGAAUUUGGUUAUCCCAUGCCUGCCUACCAGCAGCCUUAUCAAUCUCCUCCACCAUAUGAAUUCGGGUAUCCCAUGUGUCAGAAUGAGGGAUCAACCAGCACCAUAAAUCAUGAGAUGGCAUGGAGUGAGAAUGAUUUACUGCAGUGGAUAAGCAGUUUCCAGAAGAGCGAUAACUUUCAUUCUGAUCAUAGAGUUAGUCCUCCUCAACCCAACGAUCCAAGGCUGCUAGUGCUGUUAGAAAAUCUUCGGAAACUCUAUACGGAAAGGAGGGAGUUGUUCAAGAACAUAUUUCCGGAGCUUGAUGACAACUUUGUGGAGUCGUUUAAGAAAAUCCGAGCAACUCUAAUGCAACUGAAGACAGAUCGGUUGAAGGCACAGACCUUGCAAAGGAGCUUGAGUGUGGAUUCACCUCGCACGCCCUCAAGGAAAGGCGAUGAAUACCCAUUGAGGCUGGAGAGGUUCAAAGUCAAGACUCUGGAUGUGUAUGUAGGGGUGGCACAAGAUGGCAAGGGUGCGACCCAGCCAAAUGGUUCCAAAUAGUAUUUGCACGACAACAGC
rnacentral:lncRNA from 1 species